UUUCCGUAGGUGAACCUGCGGAAGGAUCAUUAUUGAAAAAGACAAGACGCCCCGUUUUUUCGUAAAAUGGGUUCAAUACCCACAACCGUGUAUACCUUACCUUUUGUUGCUUUGGCAGGCCGCCUCCGGGCGUUGGCUUCGGCUGACAGCGCCUGCCAGAGGACCCAAACUCUGUGUUUAGUGAUGUCUGAGUAAUAUAUAAUAUUUUAAAACUUUCAACAACGGAUCUCUUGGUCCUG
rnacentral:misc_RNA from 1 species